rnacentral:rRNA from 1 species
UACGUAGGGUGCAAGCGUUAAUCGGAAUUACUGGGCGUAAAGCGUGCGCAGGCGGUGAUGUAAGACAGUUGUGAAAUCCCCGGGCUUAACCUGGGAACUGCAUUUGUGACUGCAUGGCUGGAGUGUGGCAGAGGGGGAUGGAAUUCCGCGUGUAGCAGUGAAAUGCGUAGAUAUGCGGAGGAACACCGAUGGCGAAGGCAAUCCCCUGGGCCUGCACUGACGCUCAUGCACGAAAGCGUGGGGAGCAAACAGG